rnacentral:lncRNA from 1 species
CGUUUAUUCAAGCUCGAGCAGGGGCUCCCAACCGUCACCGACGCAGCGGAUCAGAAUUGGGAGCCCCGAAUUUCAAAUUAGCGGGGUUUUUAUUGUGGUUACAGCGAGAUUGUGUCUUUUGUCCCAGAGCAAGCACAUUUUAACCAUUAAUUUGUGAGGACAAUAGAGACUAGGGGAAUAGUGGAUUUUAGCAAAAUGGAGUCGCUUUGGUCUCACAGUUACAUUGGAUAUGGCUGAGGAUGUAGCAUUAUCACCUCUAGGGAGGACCAAAGGGAAAAAAAAGUCUAUGAUCCCCUCAGGUUCUGUACCUGCUAGAGACACUACAGGCAUAUCAUCUGUCAUCAGUCCCAAGAAGAAGAUGUCACUCAUUCAAGACACUCAGUUCCCAAUUGGCAGAUAGUGAGGAAUCUUUUAAUGUUACCAGAAAACAUCUCCAUGGCUCUACCCUUCUGGCCUGUGUUCCAUAAGAGAUGGCUGUGGUCAGUCAUCAUGCAGUGGAGAAAAAUAUUUGAAGAAAUAGCCAAAGUUUCCCCAAGUCUGGUGACCAACAUAAAUUACAGAUCCAAAUAAAACCCAAUAAAGUCCAAGUAGGAUGAACACAAAGAGAACUACAUCUUGGAACAUCAAAAUCAAACUCUGAAAACUAAAGAUAAGGAGACAACAAUAAAAGUAAGGGGAAGAAAACCCAGAACAAAAAACCAACAGAAAGACACAUUACCUCUUUGGACUGAAUGCUUGCGUCCCCUCCAAAAUUCAUUUGUAGAAAUCUAAUUUGCAAUGGGAUGGUAUUUGUAAGUAGAGCCUUUGGGAAGUGAUUAACCUAUGAAGGUAGAGCCUUGAUGAAUAAGUUUAGUGCUGUUAUUAAAAAACAAACAACAACAACAAACUAGUCAGUUAGCUGGCUUGUGCUCUUUCCAACAUGUAGAGAUACAAUGAGAAGUCAUCUACCCACAACCAGGAAGCAAGUGGAUACCAGAUCUGUAUGAGUCUUAACUUAGGCUCCCCAGCCUCCAAAAUUUUGAAAAUAAAUGUCUGUUGUUAAAGCCA